AUUGAACGCUGGCGGCAUGCUUUACACAUGCAAGUCGGACGGCAGCACAGAGAAGCUUGCUUCUUGGGUGGCGAGUGGCGAACGGGUGAGUAACAUAUCGGAACGUACCGAGUAAUGGGGGAUAACUAAUCGAAAGAUUAGCUAAUACCGCAUAUUCUCUGAGGAGGAAAGCAGGGGACCUUCGGGCCUUGCGUUAUUCGAGCGGCCGAUAUCUGAUUAGCUAGUUGGUGGGGUAAAGGCCUACCAAGGCAACGAUCAGUAGCGGGUCUGAGAGGAUGAUCCGCCACACUGGGACUGAGACACGGCCCAGACUCCUACGGGAGGCAGCAGUGGGGAAUUUUGGACAAUGGGCGCAAGCCUGAUCCAGCCAUGCCGCGUGUCUGAAGAAGGCCUUCGGGUUGUAAAGGACUUUUGUCAGGGAAGAAAAGGUUGUUGCUAAUAUCGACAGCUGAUGACG
rnacentral:rRNA from 1 species